rnacentral:rRNA from 1 species
CCUACGGGAGGCUGCAGUGAGGAAUAUUGGUCAAUGGACGAGAGUCUGAACCAGCCAAGUAGCGUGAAGGAUGACUGCCCUCUGGGUUUUAAACUUUUUCUAUAUGGGAAUAAAAUGUUCCACGUGCGGGAUUUUGUAUGUACCAUAUGAAUAAGGAUCGCCAAACUCGGUGCCAGCAGCCGCGGUAAUACGGAGGAUCCGAGCGUUAUCCGGAUUUAUUGGGUUUAAAGGGAGCGUAGGUGGAUUGUUAAGUCAGUUGUGAAAGUUUGCGGCUCAACCGUAAAAUUGCAGUUGAAACUGGCAGUCAUGAGUACGGUAGAGGUGGGCGGAAUUCGUGGUGUAGAGGUGAAAUGCU